rnacentral:rRNA from 1 species
GACGAACGCUGGCGGCGUGCUUAACACAUGCCAGUCGAACGGAAAGGCCCUGCUUUUGUGGGGUGCUCGAGUGGCGAACGGGUGAGUAACACGUGAGUAACCUGCCCUUGACUUUGGGAUAACUUCAGGAAACUGGGGCUAAUACCGGAUAGGAGCUCCUGCUGCAUGGUGGGGGUUGGAAAGUUUCGGCGGUUGGGGAAGGACUCGCGGCUUAUCAGCUUGUUGGUGGGGUAGUGGCUUACCAAGGCUUUGACGGGUAGCCGGCCUGAGAGGGUGACCGGCCACAUUGGGACUGAGAUACGGCCCAGACUCCUACGGGAGGCAGCAGUGGGGAAUAUUGCACAAUGGGCGGAAGCCUGAUGCAGCAACGCCGCGUGCGGGAUGACGGCCUUCGGGUUGUAAACCGCUUUCGCCUGUGACGAAGCGUGAGUGACGGUAAUGGGUAAAGAAGCACCGGCUAACUACGUG